rnacentral:rRNA from 1 species
GAUGAACGCUGGCGGCGUGCCUAAUACAUGCAAGUCGAGCGAACGGACGAGAAGCUUGCUUCUCUGAUGUUAGCGGCGGACGGGUGAGUAACACGUGGAUAACCUACCUAUAAGACUGGGAUAACUUCGGGAAACCGGAGCUAAUACCGGAUAAUAUUUUGAACCGCAUGGUUCAAAAGUGAAAGACGGUCUUGCUGUCACUUAUAGAUGGAUCCGCGCUGCAUUAGCUAGUUGGUAAGGUAACGGCUUACCAAGGCAACGAUGCAUAGCCGACCUGAGAGGGUGAUAGGCCACACUGGAACUGAGACACGGUCCAGACUCCUACGGGAGGCAGCAGUAGGGAAUCUUCCGCAAUGGGAGAAAGCCUGACGGAGCAACGCCGCGUGAGUGAUGAAGGUAUUCGGGUCGUAAAACUCUGUUAUUAGGGAAGAACAUAUGUGUAAGUAACUGUGCACAUCUUGACGGUACCUAAUCAGAAAGCAACGGCUAACUACGUG